rnacentral:lncRNA from 1 species
AUCUUAGCAUUCUGAAAGCUGAGGCAGAGGCAUUACAAGUUUGAGGCCAGCAUGGGCUAUAUGGUGAGACUGUCUAAGACAACACCCUAGGGCCGACCCAUCACUAGUAUCUCCCAAGCCAUCUUCCUCUGACUGCUCCAGUUCAAGGUCCCUUAUCUUCCCAGCUGCCCAGGUACCAGUGUAGGCUGCCCUUAUUUCUCUAUUCUGAGAGAGAAGCGAUUCUUCUAACUCCACUACCACCGCUUUAGCUCAAACCUCAGGAGCUUUUGUCUGUGUUAAGGUCAGUUGCCUUCCCGGGCUAGCUACACCCUCCUCCACACAUCCAAGCAGAGGCUGCCAAAAAGACUCCCUCUUUUAAAAACGAUUUCAUUUAUGGAAGGUGAAAAAUUGGAAAAUAUGUCAGGUAGAAAGGAAGCCACCUUAGCUGAAGAUAACUGAUGUGCACAUAUUCGGGACCUUUUCCUCUUAAGCUUCAUCCCCACUUUAGCAUUUAAUUUUCAGUUUCCAGAUUUUGUUCUUCCAAAAUACCCAGUAAAUUAACUUGGUCAUGAUGGCUCAUAUCUGUCAAACCAACACUUGGGGUUGAGGCUAGCCUGGGCUAUGUAAUGAGUUCCGAGACAACCGGGGCGUCAAAGUGAGAACCUUUCUCAACAAAACAAAGUCAGAAUACUCACAAUAGUAAAGCUUUCUAACAAGUCUCAGUGUUUCCCUGUUCUUGCCUUGCUCUGUAGCCAACGGGAAAAUGAUCAGGGCUGUCGGUCACAUAGGAGUAGAUGUCUGUAUUCUCACGGCUAGGACAUCUGCCUCAGCCUGCCUACUAAUCUUAUUCCUUACCCACUCUCAUUCAGGAUGGGUCACUAAGCGAGUCCCGCCCACCCGUCUUUCCCACUUCCACUCUUCUCCUUAACCAAUCAUUUCAUGCUCAACAUUCAGUCUAAACAAGUAAUUAGUUAUGUCAGCCAAGCUUUUGUUUCCUCCUGUGCGGAAUAGGGAUAACUUCUGCCCUAGCUACCUCAUAUAAUCAUGGAAAGAUCAAAUAACCUAACAGAUAAGAAAGCCAUAAAGUGGAAUAUCUGUGCCAGGUAUGACUAUUGCUACACAGUGUCUUAGCUCCUAAUUAGAUACUGCCUUGUUAUGCCAGUGUGUUCCUCACAUGAGCAUGACAAAUUUUUAAGUUCCUUGGGUUAAGGAACAAUGACCAAGACUAGGUGGAUGUUCCCCACAGCUCUAAGUACAGGGCCUGCAUCCCAUAAUACUUGAUGGUGAAUUUACAUAUGAAUGGAUGUACAAACAGUAGACAUAGAAAGAGCAAUGGAAGACAGAGUGGAUCCGGAGUUGAGAAGGGAAAUACACUAAAAAGAAUAGGACUGGCAUGUCCUGGGGUGGGGCAAAAGGCAUGGGAGACUAAGGAUGGGGUGGGAGCAAGGCUGAAGGCCCUCUGCCAGUUUACAGGAAAUAGGACAGCAAUGGGAAGCCAGCAAGGAUCAGAGACGAAUUACAAGAUACAAAAAUGGGCAGAACAAAGGCCGCUCUGGUAGUAAACAUUUAUUAAGUGAGCUGACUCUGGCAAAAGGAAGAACAAUCAAAAUUGAACUCUAAGUUGAAAGUCUAAUAACUAUCCUGCCAGCACCCCUAUGAGGCUACCCCUCAGUUGAACUCUGAAGGGUUCCCUCCUUUAGUUUGGUUGCUGGUCAUUCCUGAGAUAUUCAGUUUUUUUCAAUAGUAUCAAUUCCAGCUUAAAAACGACCGUUCUGAAUCACCCCCUCUGCUCUCUCCUCCGUGUAGGACCUUAGCCCAUUCCCAAAGCUCUGUGUGGACAAGGUCUAAGGGGCUGAGCAAGAGCUUGAAGCCUCUGUAACUCAGCUCCUACUUAGCAGGCUAAGAGGCCAGGAUGAAUGCAUACCUGUUCUUGACCUUAUCCUAACCACAUGUGCCUAUCUCAGUACGGUGGAUCCCAUUUUGACACAAAGGAUUUGGGGUUAGAAUUUGGCUGGAACAAUAUGAUUGUUCUCUCUCUCUCUCUUUUUAAGUUCUAUUUAUUUAAUGUAACAUAGUCGCUAUCUCCAGACACACCAGAAGAGGACAUCAGAUCUCAUUACAGAUGGUUGUGAGCCACCAUGUGGUUGCUGAGAUUUGAACUCAGGACCUCUGGAAGAGCAGUCAGUGCUCUUAACCACUAAGCCAUCUUUCCAGCCCAUGAUUGUUAAUUCCUACUGACAACUUGGCCAGAUCUAGAACCACCAAAGAGAGAAGCCUAUGGACGUGCCUGUGAGGAAUGAAUACUUUAGGUUAAUGGAAAUGGGAAGAUGCGCCUUAACUGUGGGUGACUACAUUCCAUGGGUUGGGGUCCUGGAGUCAUGAUAGAAAGGAGAAAGAGGGUCGAGUUCUAGCCUUCAUUGCUCUCUGCUCCUGGCUGCGAUACCGUGUGACUGCCACCAUCACUUCUCUGCCAUGACAGACAGACGGGUCGUACCUUCAAACAAACUCUUCCUGAAGUUACUUUUGUCUGCUUUGACCACUAGCUUCCUAACUUACUUGGAGGGACGACUCUCUGAGAUGGGCCACCCGCAGGAGCCAAAUGUCCAGGCAGUGCCAGGCCCUCUUCACUGCCUAGGGCUAGGCUUAGGUAAGUGGCCUCCCCACCACAGCUCCACGGCACCGACCGCGGCAGAGAAGGGACCCUUACUUUAGAAGCUUUGGGGGCUGAGUUUGGUGACUUUUAUGCUUCCCUCCCCAGUGCUGUGUUUAUAUGUGAAGUGACUCAGAAUGAUGCUCUCUGUCUGUCUGUCUGCCUGUUCCUGUUCAUCGGAAUGCUCCUUCAUCACUAGUCCUUGAACUCAGUGGGGAAUCCAGAAGCUUCUGUAGAACCUGCCCUGCAGUGUUUGUAACCUCUGGGAUAUGAGGAAACGCUGGAAGACCAGCAAAGCACUGCUGGCUAAAGUCAUCUGAAGAGGUCUGGGGAGGCAUCUCCGUGGUAGAAGGCAUGCUCUCUACUUCCGGGCUUCAUCCCUAGCUCUCCCCACUUGUUACCGGAGGAUGCUUUCACUGUGAUGUUCAAGUAUGCCCUGAACUCUUAGGCUCAAAUUAUCCUCCUGUCUCAGCCUCCCAAGUAGGUGGCACUCUAGGACUCUGCCCAAUCCCAACUUCGCUUUUAUUUUUGGUAUGGAAGCCAUCUGUCACAGAACAGAGUGAACUUCUCACCCUCUCUUUAGGGUUGACAACAGCCAAGAUCAACUAUUCCAGGAAUCAGAGCUUGAGGAUAGAGACAUAAGAAUUCUGGGACUGAAGAAGCAUGCGCUUAAAUAAGGUACACAGAAGGUGUCAGCUGCCAGGGUAAUGCAGCCUAAAGAACCUCCUCUUCC